rnacentral:rRNA from 1 species
AUUGAACGCUGGCGGCAUGCUUUACACAUGCAAGUCGAACGGUAACAGGCCGCUAGGUGCUGACGAGUGGCGCACGGGGGAGUAAUGCAUCGGAACGUGCCCAGGCGUGGGGGGUAACUACUCGGAAGAGUAGCUAAUACCGCAUACGAUCUAUGGAUGAGAGCGGGGGACCGUAAGGCCUCGCGCGAUUGGAGCGGCCGAUGUCAGAUUAGGUAGUUGGUGGGGUAAAGGCUCACCAAGCCAACGAUCUGUAGCUGGUCUGAGAGGACGACCAGCCACACUGGGACUGAGACACGGCCCAGACUCCUACGGGAGGCAGCAGUGGGGAAUUUUGGACAAUGGGCGCAAGCCUGGUCCAGCAAUGCCGCGUGCAGGAAGAAGGCCUUCGGGUUGUAAACUGCUUUUGUACGGAACGAAACGGCUCUGGUUAAUACCCGGGGCUAAUGACGGUACCGGAAGAAUAAGCACCGGCUAACUACGUG